rnacentral:rRNA from 1 species
GUGAACCGUUAUAGUGGAAGCGUAUGAAGCCGACGUAUCUGGUGCGUAUUCAGCCGUUUCGUUUUGCGACUUGCAGGUGUGGGUUUUCGUAAGAUGCCUCGCUUGUGUGUAUCGCGCAAUGGAGUGGUGCAUUUGCGUACAGAGUGCGUCGAAUCGAUCGGAAGCGCGCGGCUUGGUGGGCGUGUAGAGGACUAACCUGCGGGUUUGAAUCCUGUCCGCCCGGAUGGCUGAUGUGUCUGGUCGUCCCGCAAUGGGGUUGCUGGUGAAUUCGCGAUUGGCCUCUUCGAUUUCAUUCGUUUACGUAUGGCGCUUGCGUUCUGCGUUUACGGGCGGCGUCGAGGAGGUCGGUUGCCCCGCAGCUUAUUCGGCGUANAGUCGGUCACUCAUAUGACCCGUCUUGAAACACGGACCUGGGAGUUUAAGGUGUACGCAAGUCAUUGAAUUCGCGUGAAAUUCAAAGGCGUAAUGAAAGUGAGCUGUUUAAUGGUUGUGAUGUGAGCAAUUGGGGCGUUAAAACCUCGGAUGUGCAACAUCGCCCCAUGACUAGACCGCGGUCUGUUGUGGAGGCUGAGCGUACGCUUUGAGACCCGAAAGAUGGUGAACUAUGCCUGAACAGGACGAAGUCAGAGGAAACUCUGAUGGAAGUCCGAAGCGGUUCUGACGUGCAAAUCGAUCGUCUGAUUUAGGUAUAGGGGCGCAAGACUAAUCGAACCAUC